rnacentral:lncRNA from 1 species
AGAAUUGAGAAAAGGACAUGUGUACAAAACAAAGCAACGCAAUCUCUUUCUCUCUGGAAACUCGGUUCUCUCUUUUUUAGAAAAAGAAAAAAAAAAAGAGAGAAAAAAGAAAAGCUCUCUUUUUCCUCUCUCGGUGCUCUUGUGGUUUCAUUCUAGGGCUGCUGCGGCUUGUCCCGUUCUGGUUCGGGAUAUCCGUCCUUCUCCUUUGGGGAGGUUUGUUCUGAAUUUCUCUUCUGCGCUCGGUUUCGCUUCCCCCCCUUUUUUCGAUCCUUUUUCCUCUUCUUUCUCCCUCCUUUUCCUUUCUCGGGCCUGCGCGCCUUGGUUGUUGGUCUUUUGGCCUUGUAUAGCGGGGCCUGCGUGCCUUUGUGAGCCCUAGUGGCUGUGUAUGUUUUUUGGAGCCAGCGUCCCUUUGGUCGUUUGGCGUGUAAGAUGUUUGCCUCUUUUGCAGUAAAAUUAAAAAAGAAAAAAAAAAACAUUGUAAGAAACAUUUACUAGCUUUCGACGUUUUUCUCUUUUAAAAAAAAAAAAAAAAAAUCUUUUUCUCUCUCCAAAUUUUCCUUUUUUAUUAAUUUUAAUUUUUGAGUACCCUUCUUUAGCAACUCCACUGGACAUGCCCUUAGAAUCUCUUAGACCGUUUCUUUUUUACGACAUUGUGGACAAUAUCAAGAAUCGAUAGGGUUUAGGACAUUGUGGACAAUUGAA